GAGGACAACAGGCUUUGCUUGGCAUCCAGAGCCCCUAAAGAGCUGAAUUGCAGAAGAGCCAUGGGUCUUCUCCCUUUGCAACAUCCCCAUCCAUCAUCUGUUAGGAAUAUGGAUCGUGAUCAUGGGACUGGACUGUUGGAGGCAUAGGUUUGUGCCUUCUGUCACUAAGCCAUUGGAUGUCUCCAGAAGUGGAUUCCUUGAAUCUGAGAUCACUAAAAAUUAACUUCCCUUCUACUCAUCCAUAAAAAUUCUCAGUGAUCUGCUAAUAUUUAUAAUGGCUUGUUUGAAGUUUGUCACUUUAUUGAUUUAGCAAGAUAAUGGCUCUGCUGGCUGAUUGUCACACCUGGCCAAACCCCAGGUGAAGGACGGGAGCUUCAGAGCAGCUCAUGACAACACAGAGCAGUGAUGACUGCAGGGGGCUGGGAUCUGUGCACGGAGUUUGUAACACCUGUGGCUCUCAGUCCCACACAGGUGAGCUGAGUUUUGUGGUUCAGUUCCCCACUCACACAGUGCAAAUUCAAUUUUUGAGGACCCUGCAACUUUACUCAUCUGAGGGGGACAAAUUAUUGGAUGUCUGCUGAAGCUAGAAGGCUUUAUUUAGAGAAGGAAUUGCAUUUUGGUGCUUGUCUAGAGGAGAGGAAUGCUCUUUGGUGUUGGAUGAGCUAUAUGACACUGCUUAGAGCCACAUCAGCAUUCAGUAGAAUCUUCAUCAAAUACUACGCUUCGAAGCACACUGUGCUCACAAUAGAAAAGGGGUUUAUUUACUACUGCUUAGUAUUUGUACUGUAGUGAUGCUGAGAAGACCCAGUCCAAGAUCUUGUGUGUUCCAUGCCAAAUUGCUGGGCACUUGGAUCAUUCUGCACUGAAAGCCCAUGCAACUCCAAAGCAGUGCUGGCAUCUGUUCUCUCACAGAAGGAUGCCUGAUGUGUCCAUGUGCAAUGCUCAGAUAGCAGUGGGGCUGCAUGAAGGAUGCUCAGUCACUCGCUGAGGUUGUUUCAUCUGAGGAUGAUGGCUGACCAAAACACAGACUGGAUUCAGCUCUGGGAGCUAAUCCUGGAGCUGCCCCUUGGAACAACAAAAGCAACAUUGAGGUUACAUAUCAUGCCUUAUUCUGUUUCUCCAGCUUUACCUGAGGUUCCCAUGUGAGUUUUGGUGGAUCCAUUUUCAGUAGUAAUUUCAGUCACUAUUGAUGUGGCCACUUCAGAGCCAUUCUGGCCAUAGUGGGAGCAGUACACAUCUAGCCUGAACCCACUUUGUCAAUGUGGAUUAUGGAAUGCUGUCACGUUUGAUCUCUUGGCCAGCUCAGAUGACAUAUGCUGUAAUAAUGAUUUGACUGCAAGUAAAAUAAUACAGAGAUAUGUAUUGAUGUUUCAAUUACCUCUUAAAUUGCAUUUGCUGAGAUCCCUGGGCCUGUCUUGGGCAUUAAAGUAUGGAUUGCAUCAGAUUCUGAGAACACAUCUUUUUUUUUUCUGCUCAACCUAUAUGAGAGCUUGUAUUUCCAUCCCUGUGUAACUGUCUCUGCUUUAAAGAAUGACCCUAAAUUAUAUUUGCAUAGUAAAUUAAUGCUCAUUUCUUAUAGAGAAAGGAUUGCUCCAAGGAAUGUGUAUAAGGGCAUUUUUCUCUGCUCCUCUUCUGUGGUCUCAAUCAUAAAUAAGUAGCUGAGUACUCAUGGGAC